CCCUAAACCAUAUCCUAUGGGCAUUCUCUCACUCCUUCAGUGGCAAAAAGUGCCAGCCUCCCACCACCGUCAUAUACCGCCAAAGCCGCUACCAGUGCAGGAUCAGUGGAAACUGAGAGAGGUGGAGUUAUCAACUUGCUUUCAUUACACAACAUUCCUGAUAAUCUUAGCGAAAUUGGUGUGGAGUAUGUUGAGGUAGGGAUUUAGCAUUUUGAUAUCUGGCUUAUUUGGUAAUACAACCACAAGACAAGGAAAGUCAG